rnacentral:tRNA from 1 species
CCCCCUGUAGCUCAACGGUAGAGCACCGGGCUCAUAACCCGAGUGGUGGAGGUUCGACUCCUCCCGGGGGGA